GGCAAAAUGGCUGAGCUAAGCGGCAAACUGUAAAUUUGUUUACGAAUAAGAUUCUUUUGUCA
rnacentral:tRNA from 1 species